UUUACACUAAGUAAACACCUCACCAAUUCAAUAUUGAUCAAGAGACAUAGCCUAUCAAUCAUCUACAAUCAGUGCAUUCAAUCAAGAAAUAUUCAUUCACUACUCAUCAAUCAUCUAUCUAGACUCACCUUUGAUUCUUUGAGAUUGGCUAAUCAAGACUAGACUCGAGCUCAAGCUAAUCACACUCCACUUUCAGUACACUUGAGAUUCAAAACAGUCACAAUUAUCUGACUGAUCCGACCACUCUCCUUGAUAUCUGAAUUCAAACCAAGUGUCUGAGCGGCUACAAUGAGUGACUGGACCGAUCUAGCAAAACUCCACAACCAAUUAGACAGAAAACGGUUUUACAUGAUGAACCAGUCUUAUCCUUCAACUUUACUC
rnacentral:lncRNA from 1 species